rnacentral:rRNA from 1 species
GACGAACGCUGGCGGCGUGCCUAAUACAUGCAAGUAGAACGCUGAAGGAGGAGCUUGCUUCUCUGGAUGAGUUGCGAACGGGUGAGUAACGCGUAGGUAACCUGCCUGGUAGCGGGGGAUAACUAUUGGAAACGAUAGCUAAUACCGCAUAAUAGUAGAUGUUGCAUGACAUUUGCUUAAAAGGUGCAAUUGCAUCACUACCAGAUGGACCUGCGUUGUAUUAGCUAGUUGGUGAGGUAACGGCUCGCCAAGGCAACGAUACAUAGCCGACCUGAGAGGGUGAUCGGCCACACUGGGACUGAGACACGGCCCAGACUCCUACGGGAGGCAGCAGUAGGGAAUCUUCGGCAAUGGACGGAAGUCUGACCGAGCAACGCCGCGUGAGUGAAGAAGGUUGUCGGAUCGUAAAGCUCUGUUGUAAGAGAAGAACGAGUGUGAGAGUGGAAAGUUCACAAUGUGACGGUAUCUUACCAGAAAGGGACGGCUAACUACGUG